rnacentral:rRNA from 1 species
GAUGAACGCUGGCGGCGUGCCUAAUACAUGCAAGUCGAGCGAACAGACGAGGAGCUUGCUCCUUCUACGUUAGCGGCGGACGGGUGAGUAACACGUAGGUAACCGACCUAUAAGACUGGGAUAACUUCGGGAAACCGGAUCUAAUACCGGAUAAUAUUUCGAACCGCAUGGUUCGAUAGUGAAAGCUGGCUUUGCUAUCACUUAUAGAUGGACCUUCGCCGUAUUAGCUAGUUGGUAAGGUAACGGCUUACCAAGGCAACGAUACGUAGCCGACCUGAGAGGGUGAUCAGCCACACUGGAACUGAGACACGGUCCAGACUCCUACGGGAGGCAGCAGUAGGGAAUAUUCCGCAAUGGGCGAAAGCCUGACGGAGCAACGCCGCGUGAGUGAUGAAGGUCUUCGGAUCGUAAAACUCUGUUAUUAGGGAAGAACAAAAGUGAAAGUAAAUGUGCACGUCUUGACGGUACCUAAUCAGAAAGCCACGGCUAACUACGUG